rnacentral:lncRNA from 1 species
CUGCUAUUAGUGCAUCAAGGACAGUUGUGAAUUCCUCGAAAGUUAAAAGCAUUUCACAUCUUGCAGCUGCCCCAACUCUCCAGGGAUCAGAUGAAGGGUGCCCCUAGACCAGCACUUGAACCCUUUUGGACAGCAGUGAUGAGCAGAAAGCAAGGUUAUUAGUACCUUCAGGUCACAGCCACGCCUGCAGUAGUAACCUGAUCACAGAGAUUUCAUUACUCAGAAAGGUGUCCUGGCUUUUAAGAUGUGGAAUGGGUUUGGUGAGGUUCUUAUUUCUUGGAAUAAAUAUGCUGGAGAGCAAAAAGGCCUUGCAGAAAUGAGCUUCCACAUCUCUCAGAGACACCUUAGCCUUACAGUUUCCACAGUGGUCUCUUCAGUUCUUGGGUGAUUUAGGAGUAGAAAUGUAUUAUGAAGCCACAUAUACCGUUACUAGAUGUAUUCUUGUGAACUACAUGGUAG